UUGCUCAAGGGGAUGUUCCUCUGUCUAUUGUAAUGACGGUAUGCACAACUCUUGGGGCAGUACCCCUGGAUUCAGGUUUUGGGAGAAGCUUGCCAAGUCUUAAGUGACUCAGGCCAACACCAAGCAUACGAUGCUUUUGGAAAAUCAGGGAUCUCAACGUUAGUUUCUUGCUCUUAAUCUGUGAAUUUAUGAAUUCUAAGAUUGAAAGGUGUCUGACACGCACCUCAUAGGUUGCCUGCAUUUGUCACAGUGUAUGUGUGUGUUAGCUUAACACAUAGUUGCGUGUUUCUGACAUUUUUUGAAUGGUUCCCUUUCUUUGAGCGACUCAAUUAUUGAUCCUGCAGCAAUCUUCGCUGUGCUUUUUGGUAGUGAGCUUUUUGAGGAAUAUAUUGGCCAGCUAGCCAUGGCAUCAAUGGCUCCACUAGAUAUUUUCUCAGAAGGGGAGCAGUUCGAUCCCAAAAGGCUGCAAGAGAAAAUGCGGAUCGAAAUCACGUUGUGACUGAUUCAGGUGUGAAGAGGAUGAGUUGUUCUUGUCUCCCGAAUAGCGUGAUAUAUAUUGAGCAGAUGCCAAAGGGAAGGAAAGCAAACUGAAACACCAAAUUGAACAUUCAACUGCAAAGUACAAGACCUUUCUCUUUUCCAAGAUUUGCAUGAUUGUGUUGAGAAGUUUCUUCUAUUGCCACACUCUCAGCAAACCUUAUCCCAGGUGUGUGGAGACAAAUCACAAAUGGAUCAAUGAACUACUAGAUGGAUCUUUGAGGCUCCUGGAUGUGUGUGGCAUCAUUAAGGGUGCUCUUUUGCAAACAAAGGAGUGCACACAUGAACUUCAAUCCAUUAUGCGCAGAAGACAAGGAGGUGACAAGAGCUUCAUGAGUGAGGUUAGAAAAUAUCUUGCCUCUACAAAUGAACUUGAGAAGGUGGAUGCUGCAUUGAAUGCCCUUAUUCCUCACAAGUCUAAGAAAUCUAAUUAUGCAAUGCAAGUCGAGAAUGUGCAAAUUUGACUCCAGGAUUUGGAGGCAAACAUUCACGAUAUAGAAUAAGGACUUGAGUGCCUAUUCAGGCGCUUGAUCAAAGCCAGAGUCUCUCUUCUGAACAUUUGCAGCCAUUAGGGAUGAAAAUCAUCCAAUUUUGUAGACACUGAACAUACAUACUAGUAUAUGAAAGAGAUCUAUGUGUAUUUUCUCAUCACAUCCAAAACAAAUGUACUCCUUUGACACAAAACAUAUCUGUUCUA